rnacentral:rRNA from 1 species
GACCUGCGGAGGAUCAUUAAUCUAAUUCCAUGAGGUGCGGUCGCGGCCCUCGGCGGGAGCAACAGCUACCGUCGGGCGGUAGAGGUAACACUUUCACGCGCCGCAUGUCUGAAUCCUUUUUUUACGAGCACCUUUCGUUCUCCUUCGGCGGGGCAACCUGCCGUUGGAACCUAUCAAAACCUUUUUUUUGCAUCUAGCAUUACCUGUUCUGAUACAAACAAUCGUUACAACUUUCAACAAUGGAUCUCUUGGCUCUGGCAUCGAUGAAGAACGCAGCGAAAUGCGAUAAGUAGUGUGAAUUGCAGAAUUCAGUGAAUCAUCGAAUCUUUGAACGCACAUUGCGCCCCUUGGUAUUCCAUGGGGCAUGCCUGUUCGAGCGUCAUCUACACCCUCAAGCUCUGCUUGGUGUUGGGCGUCUGUCCCGCCUCUGCGCGCGGACUCGCCCCAAAUUCAUUGGCAGCGGUCCUUGCCUCCUCUCGCGCAGCACAUUGCGCUUCUCGAGGUGCGCGGCCCGCGUCCACGAAGCAACAUUACCGUCUUUGACCUCGGAUCAGGUAGGGAUACCCGCUGAACUUAAGCAUAU